rnacentral:rRNA from 1 species
GGUCAUUUAGAGGAAGUAAAAGUCGUAACAAGGUUUCCGUAGGUGAACCUGCGGAAGGAUCAUUACAGUAUUCUUUUUGCCAGCGCUUAAUUGCGCGGCGAAAAAACCUUACACACAGUGUUUUUUGUUAUUACAAGAACUUUUGCUUUGGUCUGGACUAGAAAUAGUUUGGGCCAGAGGUUUACUGAACUAAACUUCAAUAUUUAUAUUGAAUUGUUAUUUAUUUAAUUGUCAAUUUGUUGAUUAAAUUCAAAAAAUCUUCAAAACUUUCAACAACGGAUCUCUUGGUUCUCGCAUCGAUGAAGAACGCAGCGAAAUGCGAUAAGUAAUAUGAAUUGCAGAUUUUCGUGAAUCAUCGAAUCUUUGAACGCACAUUGCGCCCUCUGGUAUUCCAGAGGGCAUGCCUGUUUGAGCGUCAUUUCUCUCUCAAACCUUCGGGUUUGGUAUUGAGUGAUACUCUUAGUCGAACUAGGCGUUUGCUUGAAAUGUAUUGGCAUGAGUGGUACUGGAUAGUGCUAUAUGACUUUCAAUGUAUUAGGUUUAUCCAACUCGUUGAAUAGUUUAAUGGUAUAUUUCUCGGUAUUCUAGGCUCGGCCUUACAAUAUAACAAACAAGUUGACCUCAAUCAGGUAGGAU